rnacentral:lncRNA from 1 species
CUGUUUGGGGAAGGUUGUUUUAAUAUAGAUUCCUGGCCCUCACCCCAGACCUCCUGGAUCAGAAUCUCUGGUUCCCAAGUUUUUCUUAGGCAGCAGUUCUCAGCCUGGGCUGCACAUUAGAAUUACCCAGGGAACUUUUAAAUAGCCCAGGCUGCACCCCAGACCAGUUAAAUUAGAAUCUCUAGAUGGAAGCAGUGGGGAGGGGAGAAUCCAGGCAUCAAUGUGUUUUGAAGCUUGCCAGGUGCUUCCACUGUGCAGCUGAGGUGAAGAAUCCCCGAGUUGAGUUGCAUGGGAGGAGGCGGGCAUCAGGAUCUUUUAAAAGCUUCACGUGGGAUUCUGAUGUGUGGAAAUUACAGAGCGUGCCCUCCGAGACCUGCUGCCUGUAUGAAGGGCGUGUGAGCACUCUCGCUGAGCUCUCGGGGCUGUUUGCCGCAGGAGUGAUUCAUUGAUGAACAGACUAAGUCCCAGCAAGUCUAAAUCACCUAUUCAAGAGCUUCCAGCAGGUCGCUGGCAGAGCAGGAGCCAUCCCAUCUCAUAAUGUGAUUCUUAGGUCUAUGAACUUGAGAAGCAAUGAGUCAUGGGCCUGCUACCCAAAUCGAAGGUGGGUUUUCCUAGUGAAAUGUGCAAUAGUGACAUUAAGCAAUGCUGAUUCAAGAAGUCAGUCUCAUGCUUGGUUAAACUAAAAU